rnacentral:rRNA from 1 species
GGGUUGUGAGGUUAAGCGACUAAGCGUACACGGUGGAUGCCCUGGCAGUCAGAGGCGAUGAAGGACGUGCUAAUCUGCGAUAAGCGCCGGUAAGGUGAUAUGAACCGUUAUAACCGGCGAUUUCCGAAUGGGGAAACCCAGUGUGAUUCGUCACACUAUCAUUAACUGAAUCCAUAGGUUAAUGAGGCGAACCGGGGGAACUGAAACAUCUAAGUACCCCGAGGAAAAGAAAUCAACCGAGAUUCCCCCAGUAGCGGCGAGCGAACGGGGAGGAGCCCAGAGCCUGAAUCAGCAUGUGUGUUAGUGGAAGCGUCUGGAAAGGCGCGCGAUACAGGGUGACAGCCCCGUACACAAAAGCGCAUGUGCUGUGAGCUCGAUGAGUAGGGCGGGACACGUGGUAUCCUGUCUGAAUAUGGGGGGACCAUCCUCCAAGGCUAAAUACUCCUGACUGACCGAUAGUGAACCAGUACCGUGAGGGAAAGGCGAAAAGAACCCCGGCGAGGGGAGUGAAAAAGAACCUGAAACCGUGUACGUACAAGCAGUGGGAGCACCCUUCGGGGUGUGACUGCGUACCUUUUGUAUAAUGGGUCAGCGACUUAUAUUCUGUAGCAAGGUUAACCGUAUAGGGGAGCCGGAGGGAAACCGAGUCUUA